rnacentral:lncRNA from 1 species
UCUAGUCUUUCUAGGUGUUUAAAAGUGUACAACGGCCUGUCGCAGUGGCGCAUGCCUGUAAUCCCAGCACUUUGGGAGGCCGAGGCAGGCGGAUCACGAGGUCAAGAGAUCAGGACCAUCUUGGCCAACAUGGUGAAACCCCAUCUUUACUAAAAAUACAAAAAUUAGCUGGUCGUGGUGGUGCCCACCUGUAGCCCCAGUUACUCGAGAGGCUGAGGCAGGAGAAUCGCUUGAACUUGGGAGGCGGAAGUUGCAGUGAGCCAAGAUCGCACCACUGCACUCCAGCCUGGCGACAGAGCGAGGCUCCGUUUCAAAAAAAAAAGUGCACAAUGUAGGUUAACAGUAGAGGGCUUAAGUAACACCCCUCUAAGCAUUUGUUUUCAGUACUUCCUAGGAGUGGUUGCAUUUGGGAAUGGAAUUGUUAAAACUUGAUGCUUAGGAGCGAAUGCAGACUAUUCAUUGGGUGUUUGGGGUGGGGGAAGGGGGGGUGGGCAGAGGAGGUAUGCAGGGAGAGGGGUUCUGUGCUGUUCUGUGGUUUGCUCAAGCCAUUCCUUCUGCCUGUAAUGCCCUUUCCACAGUUUCACUUGGCAAAAUCAUUCUUCAGAGCCCAACUUAAAUUCAGUAUCUCCACAAAGUCUUGCCUGUAAGAACCUGACACUCCCGAGU